rnacentral:lncRNA from 1 species
AUCUCCAUCCAAACAACUUGACUUUACACGGAAUAGUAGCUUUCCAUAAUCUUUUAAGUUCACAAAGUCUAAAGUCACUACCAAUAUGAUUAACCGCAUUCAAAGUAUACAAACUUUUAAAAGCAUUCCUAACCGAAAAACCCCCCACAUCUCUCCACCAAAUUAAUUUAUCACCCUCAUUCAUACACGGUUUUACAUCCUUUAAGAUCUCUAUUAACUCCUUCCAAUCCUCCAAUAAUUCACCUACUAAUAAG